AUCCGCCUCAACAAUAUAGAACUUAUCUACAAUAUUUAAUCUCUUGUGAAUUUGAACAUUUGCUUAUGAUCCCAGACGAAGAUCAAAGAAAAUAAACCCACAAACAACAACAAAAUUUAAGAAAUAUUCCAAUUUAAAAAAUAUCAUAGUUCUAAACUUAUGGAUGAAGACAUUCGUCACCUGAGAGUAAUGCUCGUAUGUGUUCUUUUUUAGGAAAAUUGAAUUUGAAUAAUUAACCAAAUAUACAGUCUGAAACACUACCUGCUCCACAAACUCCCCAUCCCAGAUUAAUUUGCUUAAAUUGCCAGUCUAUGUCGAUGAGUCUGCAAAAGAUUCAACAAGAGAUCCAAGCAUUAUAAUUAAUAACGUAUGAUUAAAUAAACUGCAAACUGAUAGAAGAAUUGACCAAAAACGUGACUAAUAACGUCGAUAGACUGAGAAGCAAUAAAUCGCCAAAGUAUCAUUGGAAAUUAAAUCAUGUGGCACACAUUU